GAUGAACGCUGGCGGCGUGCCUAAUACAUGCAAGUCGAGCGAACAGACGAGGAGCUUGCUCCUCUGACGUUAGCGGCGGACGGGUGAGUAACACGUGGAUAACCUACCUAUAAGACUGGGAUAACUUCGGGAAACCGGAGCUAAUACCGGAUAAUAUAUUGAACCGCAUGGUUCAAUAGUGAAAGACGGUUUUGCUGUCACUUAUAGAUUGAUCCGCGCCGCAUUAGAUAGUUGGUAAGGUAACGGCUUACCAAGGCGACGAUGCGUAGCCGAACUGAGAUGGUGAUCGGCCACACUGGAACUGAGACACGGUCCAGACUCCUACGGGAGGCACCAGUAGGGAAUCUUCCGCAAUGGGCGAAAGCCUGACGGAGCAACGCCGCGUGAGUGAUGAAGGUCUUCGGAUCGUAAAACUCUGUUAUUAGGGAAGAACAAAUGUGUAAGUAACUAUGCACGUCUUGACGGUACCUAAUCAGAAAGCCACGGCUAACUACGUG
rnacentral:rRNA from 1 species